UGUGUGAAGUACCUCGAGACGACUCUUGUCACGAUUUGGCGCUAUAUAAAUAAACCAAAUUGAACUGGCCUUGGAGUGGUGUUGCUGCAGCGCAUUGAUGCUCUCUUCAGGUCAUGGACCAGUUUCCCCCAUUCUGGACUGUUUCCUCACCAUUCUCAAGAUCAUUUGUACCCUUUGUGAUUGGCUCAUCCCAGUCUUGUGCAGGUGUACAAUCAUGUCCCUGGUGUCCUUAAACAGCUCUCUGGUCCUGGCCACGGUGGAGGUUGGAAUCUGACUGUUUGAAGAUGUGGACCGGUGUCUUUUAUACAUAUAAUGAGUUCAAACAGGCACCAUUUAUUCCAGUAAAGUAAUAAUUUUGCUGUAGAGGCCAGGGAGAAAGUUGGAAGAAAUAUAAAUAAUGAAAUAUUACCUACUUCAUGUUAUAAAACAGGGUCAGAUAGCAAAAUACUGUAGAACAGUUAACUACAGCUUCAAGACCAUGUCAACUUUUCUGUGUAUAAUCUAGAAGCUCCAGCCAUUCAUCUUUGAGUUUCAUCACCCUUUUGUACCAGAUCAGGUUUACCUCUAGCUUUGUUUCACUUCUGAGCCUUCUGUACUGCCUUUGAUUUUGCAUUAUUAAUACAUGUUUUUUGGGGUUUUCACUUCCUGCAGUUGUGUAAGAUUCAAUUUGAGUUGGACGUGCCUAUGGUCUUUACAGCACUACUGAAAUACUUCCAUUAGAAAUGAUUACAUAACUAAACAGAAAUUAGUUCACAUCAUGCCAGAUGUUCUCUGUGUUGCACAAAACAACAUGAAAUCCAUGCAGUUGUGACACAAAUAUGUUUCUGAUGCCUGGAUUUGUGACAUUUUACACAUUUUCCUUUGUCACUAUGAAAUGAAAUUCCUUAAUUAUAUAAUUUGUAUUAUCAGUUUAUGAAGUUAAAAACAAUUAUUUAAUUGAAUUAUUUAUUUGGGACAGUGCACAUUAAUAAACAAUCACAUACUUUC